AACGUAGGAGACAAACGUUAUCCGGAGUUACUGGGCGUAAAGGGCGUGUAGGUGGUUAUGUAAGUCUGGCGUGAAAUUUUUCGGCUUAACCGGGAAAGGUCGUCGGAUACUGCAAAACUAGAGGACGGUAGAGGCGUGUGGAAUUCCCAGUGUAGAGGUGAAAUUCGUAGAUAUUGGGAAGAACACCGGUUGCGAAGGCGGCCACCUGGACCGGCACUGACGCUGAGGUGCGAAAGCGUGGGGAGCAAACAGG
rnacentral:rRNA from 1 species